CGCGCAGGCGGCCUUGCAAGUCAGUGGUGAAAUCCCAGAGCUUAACUCCGGAAUUGCCAUUGAAACUGCGAGGCUUCGAGUACGGGAGAGGUGAGUGGAAUUCCCAGUGUAGAGGUGAAAUUCGUAGAUAUUGGGAAGAACACCGGUGGCGAAGGCGGCUCACUGGCCCGUUACUGACGCUCAGGCGCGACAGCGUGGGGAUCAAACAGGAUUAGAUACCCUGGUAGUCCACGCCGUAAACGAUGGAUGCCAGCCGUUGGCAAGCUUGCUUGUCAGUGGCGCAGCUAACGCAUUAAGCAUCCCGCCUGGGGAGUACGGCCGCAAGGUUGAA
rnacentral:rRNA from 1 species